UACGGGGGGAGCAAGCGUUGUUCGGAUUUACUGGGCGUAAAGGGCGCGUAGGCGGCCUCCGCAAGUCAGUUGUGAAAUCUCCGAGCUUAACUCGGAAAGGUCAACUGAUACUGCGGGGCUAGAGUGCGGAAGGGGCAACUGGAAUUCUUGGUGUAGCGGUGAAAUGCGUAGAUAUCAAGAGGAACACCUGCGGCGAAGGCGGGUUGCUGGGCCGACACUGACGCUGAGGCGCGAAAGCGUGGGGAGCAAACAG
rnacentral:rRNA from 1 species